rnacentral:misc_RNA from 1 species
GAUGAAGAACGUAGCGAAAUGCGAUAAGUAAUGUGAAUUGCAGAAUUCAGUGAAUCAUCGAAUCUUUGAACGCACCUUGCACCCUUUGGCAUUCCGAAGGGUAUGCUCGUUUGAGUGUCAUUGUACUCUCACACUUCCAAUCUUUGGAUUGGGGGCGGUGGACUUGGGUGUUGCUGCUUACUGUGGCUCACCUCAAAUUGAUUCGUGCACCUCUUGGUUGGACAUAGUACGGCGUGAUAAGUGUCUUCGCCGGCACCUCAGUAGAGGGUGGCUGAUCGGGAGCUCUGUGCUUCUUAACUGUCUUUGGACAAUCUCUGACAAAUUGACCUCAAAUCAAGUAGGACUACCCGCUGAACUUAAGCAUAUCAAUAAGCGGAGGA